AUCGGGAGGGCCCACUUGUAGAGAAAAAAUAGGGGAAGUUCUGUGCACCUACCGGCGCCAUUAACAGGUAACGGCAAAACAUGGCAGGUUUGGUUGUUGCCUGGACGCCAAAUAUGCCAUGCUUGCCUAUCCUCCUCAGGAAGGAUCAAAAUUCAGAACUCUGAUCCCCUGCGGACGCGCCCCACUACACCCGCGCCCAUCAGGAAACAUCAGACCCAAUCAGAUUGCAAAAGCUCACAAUCAAUCGUUGCCAAAACCCUAAACUCCCUUUUGACUCUGGUGCGAGCGACGGCAGGCCACAAUUCCUCCUCGUAUCGUCUUCGUUGUCACUGAAAUGGCUCUGACUCACACUCGCUCACUCGUAUAUAUACUGGAUGUCCUUAUCUUUCAACACUUUCUCUGCCUCUCUCUCUCGUUUGCUCUCGUUUGUUCUCUCUGUUCUCUCUUUCUCGUUUGCUCUCUCUGUUUCUCUCUGUCUCAUUUGCUCUCUCUCUCUUACUCUUUGUGUUGCUUCAAUGGCUUCCGAGCACUGCUUCUUCUGCAAGGCUGAGAUUGCUGAGUUCAUUACUGGCUGGCCGCUGAAAGAUGGCUCUUUCGCUAAGCUCUGCGGGAAAUGCGGUUAUGCUUAUAUACAUGAUCAGUUCUGUGAAACUUUUCAUUCCAAGUCUGAUGGAUGGAGACACUGUGAUGGCUGCAAGAAGCGACUCCACUGUGGAUGCAUUAUGUCAUGCCACACGUACACGGAACUGGACUAUGGAGGUGUAGGUUGCAGUAAAUGCUUAUUGCGAAGUAAAAAAUCUAUGGAGUCAGCUGCCAAUGAAGGGAUGUAUUUAACAACAUUAUCUGAUUCUGAUACCCAUUCUGUGGCAUCUAGUGAGAUAAUUGCUGAAUGCUGUUCUCCUGGAUCAUCUAAAGGAAAAGCUUCUGCACAUAUUGGAGAAAACUCUAAUGUGGAUUCUAGCGGACAUACAGGUUGUGAAGAAGGAGUAGAGAGUGAAACACCACGAGUGGAUGCCUCUACUCAAAACCAUUUGUAUCCUCAAAGUCUGCUUAAGAUGACAAGUCAUGAGCAGCUCCAGAAAAUCUCUGGAAAAUCGAACAUUGAUGCUAUACCUCUGUUUGAGAAGUCAUUAACCGCAAGUGAUACUUUCCUGAAUACAGCACGUCUAGUGAUACCAAAGAAAUGUGCAGAGGCCCAUUUUCCAAAAAUUUCUGAAACACAAGGAUUCCCCAUCACAAUUCAGGAUUACACAGGCAGGGACUGGAAGUUUCAAUAUCGUUGCUGGCAAAAUAGUAACAGCAAAAAGAUGUAUGUAUUAGAAGGACUCAAGGAUUACAUGAUCUUAAAUCAGUGGCAAGUUGGGGACACAGUGACGUUUCAUCGAACAGAACAAGAAGGAAAACUGAUUAUUGGAACAAAAAAGACGCCAGCUUCUGUUGCUUCUAUUCAAGCUCUUAAGGAAAAAAUUUGGAAACUACUAGGCUGAAGGGAGACCAGGACCAAGUGAACCUUGUGCUUUGUUGGAUGCUUGAAGGUCUUUAUGCUCAUUCAGUCAAGAACCUAGUGUGUCAGUGUCACGGAGACCUUCCUUCUCUCUUAGGCUUAUCAAACUCUCUGAGCUUACAAAGCCAAAAAGAAUUGUACAGUAUGAUCUGGAAAGCCAAGGCUACUCUGAAGGUCGAUCAUGGAAAAGUGAGCAACCAUGGGCAUGUAUUUCUCCUCACUGGUGUAUCAAAGAGGAUGGGGAGAAGGUUUAUCAUGUGUUUCUGCACUACACAGUUGCAUUAAGUCUGUUCCUUAAAGUUCAGGGAGGCUGAAGUGAGCUGGGCAAUCCCAAAGGGGUGUCAUGCCUUGUGUGAAAAGCAUGUAGAGUUUGGUGGUAAGAAAAGGGCCAAAGAGAGAAAUAGGAGACUUUUUGAAGACAAUGGUGGGAUGGAGGUGGAGGAUCUUUGUUAUAAAAGACCAGAUUCUAUGAACUUAUCUUACAUGGGUGCUUAUCUUCUCAAGAUGGAACCAUGUAAAAGACCCUUGGUAUCUGGAAUCUUUUCUAGUAUAACAUUUUGCUGAAGCUGUCUGCAACGGUCUGCUGCUUUUUGAUUUCACGCCCGUCCCUACCUCAGAAAAGCUUGCAGUGUGACAUUUUGCGGUUUGGAGAUUGAUUUAUUUCUAGUCCUGUAAGACCAAAAGGAACCUGCAGAUGAUAUCAUUUUUACAGGAUGCAAGACCAAAGAAGCCCACAUUCAUGGUGUAUAUCGUGUACUUGCUAAGCGUGUCCGCGUCAGAUACGUAUUUGAGGAUACAACUUUGCCCAGAAAAAUGGUUGGCAAAUUUUCAACAAUGUCAUGCAUAACCUUGUUUGCCUCUAAAGCUAUUCUUGGAAUGUUAGAAUUGCAUAAGGAAUCCCCUGAAGUCCAAAUAUUAGUUCUGGUUCAUGCCAUAGCCCUUCGGAGAAAUGAACCAUCCCAGUAGAAGAAGAAAAAUAAACUAAAGCGGAAGGUGGGUUUAGAAACAUAGCCUGUAUUUUUUUAUGUGUUUUGACGAAAUGGAAAUUAGGAAAUCUGGGUUACUGUAUUCUAGUGGUUUCGUGUAAUGCUACAUUGCCCAGAUUGACUUGUAGCAGCAACCCCUCUUUUGUUCCCCUUUUACUUAUCUGUUACAUUUGAUCAGGUCUAUUGAGGAUUGGAAUGAAAUAUUUUUAGGAUUGCAUGGCAUUGUUUCCUUAUAUUGUUAACAAUUACAUAUGUCAGUGUAAGAAUCUCCUAUUAU